UUUGUUCGCUUCGCUCGCACAGA
rnacentral:miRNA from 1 species